UCAUCACAAGACCAACACAACUGUAAUCACAAGUUUUGGACUUCUAUAACUCAAGAUGUGCAUCUAACAACUUAAAAGGAUUUCUAAAAGCACUUUGAAAGAAUAAAUAAAAACAUCAGAAACUUUGUUCUAAAACAUAUCAUAUUAUGACUUUAUUGUGUAAUUCUUAUCACAAGGAUUCCAAAAAGUCCUCAUUUGCUAUUUUACGAGUUUUCUACAAUUUACUAUGAAGUUUUAAAGUUUCAGCCUUUUUAGAUCUGGAAAAUAAAAAAACCGAGACAAUCUUACUGUCUACCCCCUGGGUCUACGGUUUAAUUGCGCAAACAUCCCUGAAACUUCCCCAUAACCCCCUACACUUCCUUCUUCUUCUCCAAUGAAGUCCCCCACGCACCAACAGUAC
rnacentral:lncRNA from 1 species